GCUGAUUCCACCAUUCAAAAUCGUCUAUGAAAAAGUGAAGGUCAGGAUUAUUACAGUACAAUCACUUAAAAGGUAGGUCAGUAGUGGUUUUUCUGUUUGCGAUUUAUGAGUGGAAUGUGAAAAACUAUAUCUCGAGUGAAAGUGAUUUAUAGUUUAGAUUAUUUUUACGGAUAACCGCUACGAAUUUCAGCUGACGGCGACUAUAGGUUUUAAUUUCUUAAAUAUUUUGUGCAGUAAAAAAAUCAAACUUUUCCACCUGUUUGCUCAACAUGUGUCGGAAAUGACAAUGCAUACUUUUUGGUCACAUGGUGAUGGAAGCC
rnacentral:lncRNA from 1 species